CUUCAGGGUUGAGGAAGGACACAGAGGCUGAUUUUAAAUAAAGUAAUCUGCAAUCUGGAGGAUCCAACUGCAAAUUGCGAGACACAGAGAGGUCUUGGUGGGAUGUAACCCAGUGGCCGCCCACUCCCAGCACACUGAUGAUGUCAUGUUUGUGUGGAAAUGUCUGACUGCAGCACCUUGAAGGAUGCAUCAAUGAAGGAUGGAGGGGAGUCAUGAGAGGAGCACAGUUAAACGCGGAAACGCUGCUGGAGAUAUUCACCACACGACCUAAAAUGCAUACAAAGAACUGCCGUUCACUGCUGCUCCAAAGCAACACCCAUGAUGCUACUUCCACCAUGUUCUACAAUAAGGGUGGUAUUUCUGGUGUUUUGUUUAAUUAUUCAGCUCUGCAGAGGACUUCUGUUUC